UACGUAGGGUGCGAGCGUUAAUCGGAAUUACUGGGCGUAAAGCGUGCGCAGGCGGUUCGUUGUGUCGGCGGUGAAAGCCCCGGGCUCAACCUGGGAAUGGCCGUUGAAACUGGCGAACUGGAGUGUGGCAGAGGGGGUGGAAUUCCGGCGUGGUAGCAGUGAAAUGCGUAGAGAUGCGGAGGAACACCGAUGGCGAAGGCAGCCCCUGGCUGACACGUGACGCUCGAGGCACGAAAGCAUGGGAGCGAACGGGAUUAGAGUACCCGA
rnacentral:rRNA from 1 species